UUACUGUAUCACUCUAGGAUACAUUCACAAAAGGCAUGGACAUUGUUAUAACUUGAACUCUGCCAAAGUUAGACCAUUUUAAAGACACUAUUAAUGAAUAGGUGCACUAGUUUUGCCACCCCCUUACUGACACCCAAUGAGAAUAUUAUAAGUAUUAUGUUAACUUCUUAGGUAUUACACGGUAAUAACCACAGUAACAUAAUAACAACCAUUUAUUAAGCACUUCCUUUGUGUUGGGUAUUUUAUUAGGUGUUUUGCCAAGAUUAUUUUAUUUAAUCCUUCAAACAACCAGGUGAGAUGAGUAUAAUCAUGUGAUGAGGGAACUGAAAUUGAGAGAUGUAAACACUUUACACGAAUCUUAUGGCAUGGGAGUGGCCCUGCUGGGACUUGAGAGAAUGUGUGUUCUGUCAGCAGCUAAGAGCACAGAUCUGGGUGCUGAUCAAGACCCCGAAGCAGGCCUGAGAAAACGCAGAACUGAGAAUGUAAACUUCACGAAGGAAAAUUUUGUUCACUGCUGUGUGCCUAGAAAGGACAGUUCCAGACACUGAGAGAAAGAUAAAUAAAUAUUUGUGGAGUGAAUGAAAAAUUGAAUGAAAAGAUGACUGCCAGACCUCUGAGCACGAGCUGUUCCUGACAUCGUUUCUGUCAAUUUCCUAGAGACCCAGGAUCCAGUCACGAGUCCCUCAUGGGGCUGGAUCAGGAGACAUCACCAUGCAUUUGUCAGAGUCCAUUAUGCCCCCUGCUGAAGAAGGCUGUGAUCUUCAGUCGACCUCUUUGUGUCCACUGUCCUCUUCACUUCCAGUGAACGUAUCCCGGAUGAUCCUCAGUCUGUCUUGCAAAUAGACUUGGACAUGUCCCUUCAGAUCGGCAGACAGGCCUGACUCCAGCAGUGUGUUGGGCUUGAGCUCAAAGCUGGGACACAAACGAUGCUUAUAUUGAGCUGAAAACAAUCACUCUGCAUUUAUUACCCCAAAGCCCUUCUUAUACUCCCCAGGACUACACAGAACAAGCAUAAUUCCCUUCUAACAUGUCCACCUAACAAGACUGAAGCCAGCUCUCUUUUCCUGCUCCCCUUAAAACUAUUUUCUAGGUAAAGCACGCUCAGGACUUUCUACCAUUCUUCAGAUGACACGUUUCAUGUUUUUUCAUCGUUUGGGCCCCUUUCCUCUUAAUAUGCUCUGGCCUGUCUGUGACCUUCUAAACAUGUGAGGUCAAAGAGACUAUCUGCCUGGCCAGGAAAGAUUGGAGUAGACUAUCACCUCUUUUAUUCUGCCUACUAUGCAUUUUGUGGUAGUAUAACACACGAUUCUUUAAUAUUGGAUUUACUGUUAAGCCAUAGCUCUACAAAUAACUGAGAAGAAGUUCAGAAUUGAGAAGUCAUUAUUUAAUAAUCAAAGAUGUGAUGAAAAAUAACCAUACUGAUUUUGGUAUGUACCUUUUUAAAAUAAUGUAAUUUCUUAACUAUAUCUAGUUACAUCCUUGAAGAUGUAAGUGUUAACGAGAAACACUAACAAAAACCAGGAAAAAAGGGAAAGGGUCGGAAAAGCUAAGUUAUGUAACUUCUGGACAUCCUAAAAUUUAAACAUGUGUUCUUGAAUUUUUCUCAGCACAAAUGAUAAACUAGUGUGUCUAUUGGCUGAACCCAACCAGGGUCAGAGAGCAAGGGGGUCUGUUGAUGCUCUCCAUACAGGCCAGCAUUUCUGGACACAAAGUGGAGUGCAGAGAAGUUCUUCAGGGGCAAACAGUGCAUAUCCAGCAUACCGUAGACAAGGGUCACAAAAGAAGGAAAUGGGAGGACGGUAGACUUUUACCUCAUGUAGCCUGACUCUGAGAAUUCAAGAAUUAAAUUGUUGCUCAUUAAUUUCAUAUUUCAGCCAUACUAAGUAGCAUUAUUCUUAGGGGUCUUUGCACCUGAAGAGCAAAGGUUAAGAGUGCAGUUUUGGAAUUAGUUUGACCUGGGUUUAAAUUCUGGCUCCAUUCUGUAGAUUAUAUUUCUUUGACAAAAUUAUUAAUGUCUUUUAAUCCUGUAGUUCUUCACCCAAGAAGAGUGUCUGCCUCGUUGUUUAUUGGAGUCUUAAAUGAGAUGUCUCCAGUGAAGAUGGCUGGACUUUGGAGAGGUGCGGCAGCAGAGAUCCUUGGAGCAUCUGCCUGAAUUGACAAUGGAUAUAGAACAACCUACACAGACUUGCAGAACGUCUAUGUCCAAUCAUUGGGACCAUUAAAAAUACUUAGAGAGAGGAUCCUGUAAAAGAUUGAACAUCAUGUUCAAGUGGAAUGAGAGACUUUGGUUACUGUUAUUUGGGGAAGUAAAGGGAAGACCCGUGAACACUGGAGUCUUUGUAAUGUGCUUAAUAAAAGGACAGAAAAAAUGAUUCACCUCAGGAGUACAAAACAACCAUUUCCAAAAUUAUUAAUCUCACCAUUUAGUUUCAUUUGGCAACCUCAGAAUGCUCAAUGCAAUACUUGAGUUGUAGCAGGUGUUUCUGUAAGUGAGCUUUUUAUAGAAUCAUGAAAUAACAAUGCUUUACUCCCUUAAUGGGUUCAAGUUCUGGGUGGAGAUAACGAGUCGAUGUUUGAUAGUUACCAGGGCCAAGUGCAGAUCAAGAAUUGCCUUAAAAAAUACAAUUCAGUAGGAAAAAGGAAAUGUUUAAUUUUCAAAUGUCUUUUAAAUUGGAAAAUAAGCUUUUCAGUUAAAAGAAAUAUAAGCACUUUGGUGAAUCCUACAGCAAUUUUUGGUACUAAUCCUUUCUUAUUGUAGACAUUUUCAAGCAUUAGUGCCGAAUGUUUCCAUUCUUCAGGCUGCACUAAUGAAGACUUCUAGGUAAGAGUCUUAGAGCACUGUGGGUUUAUGAGUAAGAAACAAUGAAAAAAAAGAAAACUCAAAAUAGUGGUUUUCAAUUUUAUUUUAAAUUAAAUGAAUUGUUUUUAAUUAAGUGACUUUUAGAACCAGUAGUCUCCUUUUUAAUCUGAUUUCCAAGGUAUUCAUGUUAAUUGAACCAGGUCAUUAUUUUCAAAUGUUUCUUAAAAAUUACUUUUUCUCAUAGAACAGAUGAAUAUUUUUUCUAAAAUGAUAAUAUAAUUUAUACUGACAACUACUCAGAAAAUCUGGCUAUAGAUUCUGUUCUUGGAUUGUCUAUUGAUCAGUCAGUUUUUGGAAAAAAACAUUUUAUUACUAUUUUUGUCUUAGAGGCCUCAUCAUCUAAACUGAACUUUAAAUCUUCCUUACAACAUAAAUUAUUUGAACUGAUUGGAGGCUGAUGUUGUUACGUUAAAAUUUAGAUUUUGGCAAAUCUCCUACAGUUUAGAAAUCUGAUAGGGAAAGCUUUGGCAGGCUGGCUUACAGCUUUAACUUAUAAGCGAUAACUGUGAGGGUCCUUGCUAAGCUCUGGAGGAAGUUUCAGUUGCUUUUUGUCUGUUAGGACAUAUAAGUUGCUGAUCUAUAAGUUAUUCUAAAGCAAUGCCUAUUGUCCUGGAAGUCUUGGGUUUUGAUAAUAUUUUGACUUCUUGAAGUACAGCUAGUUGGUCUGUUUAUUAAUUUCCUAAUUGGUGUUUAAAGGAUUCAUUAAAAAAAUGCCCUGGUCAUUUGACAAAUUAAUGAGCUAAUUUCAGACAGAGAUAAAAUAAUGAUGAUAAUAAUCAGGAUGAUGAGAUGUAAGCGACUGGGUGGCCCCUUCCGAUGGAGUCUUUGUGAAAGACUUCUCUGAGACGGGACCUUGGAGCUGAGCAUGGAUGGAAACAUGAGGUGGCCUGGCAGAGAAGGAGCUGGAGGAGGAGCAGUGCAGGGACAAGGAAACAGGCAAGACAGAGGCCCUGGGGUGGGAAGAAGCUUCCGGUGCUUGAGGGAUAACAAAGAGGCAAGUGGAAGUGCAAUGGCUGAAGGGACGAGAAGUCUCAGGAGAGCCAGGAGAGAGAUUGAGGUUCAGACUGCGUGAGCCUUGCUGCAAGGAGUUCUGGUUAUGAACGUGAAAUUACGCCUAAGAUACGGUAGAGUGAAAAAACAUUGUUUCAAACAGCCUUAGUGGAAAGACGCCCUUCGUGUCAAACUGGAUACUCAUUUCCAUAUGUAUCAAUAAGCACAGAGAUAGUUUGGGGUGUGUGUUCAGCAAAACGCUAACACUGGAAAUCACUGGGUGCGGGACCUCAAGUGAUACUUGUUCUCCUUUUUGUAUUUUUCUGUAUUGCUUGAAUUGUUUACAAAAAACAACAGAGACAUAUCAAAUAUGCAUUUCUGAAGAAAGAGCUGUGGUCCUUUUCAGCUAAGAUUUGAUAUUAAGACAACAUUGACAUUAUUGUGGCUUCCAAACUCAUGAGAAGUGGGAAGAAGAGAGACUGAUGAAGAAGAGUUUAUUGACUUUCAUUAAGAAAUAUAGAAAUAAAGUGACACUCAUUUU